rnacentral:misc_RNA from 1 species
GAUGAAGAACGUAGCGAAAUGCGAUAAGUAAUGUGAAUUGCAGAAUUCAGUGAAUCAUCGAAUCUUUGAACGCACAUUGCGCCCGCCAGCAUUCUGGCGGGCAUGCCUGUUCGAGCGUCAUUUCAACCAUCAAGCCCCAGGCUUGUGUUGGGGACCUGCGGCUGCCGCAGGCCCUGAAAACCAGUGGCGGGCUCGCUGUCACACCGGGCGUAGUAGAUUUUAUCUCGCUCUGGGCGUGCUGCGGGUUCCGGCCGUUAAAAAACCCUUUUAACCCAAGGUUGACCUCGGAUCAGGUAGGAAUACCCGCUGAACUUAAGCAUAUCAAUAAGCGGAGGA